UGACCACUGCGUCGUGGAGCAGGGUACGUGGGGUGACUGGGGGGGGAAUUCGUCGCAGUGACCGAGGCGAGGAGGCUAUGGCAGUGGACCAGGGGGAUGAGUCGGUGUGACAGUGGUGGGGGUUGUGUUGGUGGUCGCGGCGCGGGGAGAGUCCGGCCAUCAAAGGUGCAGCCACCCCAAGACCUGCUGUGCUGUUUCAGCAAGCCUCCAUUAAUGAUAGAGAUUUUAAAUUGGUUUUCUGACUCCCUGGAAAAUCGUACCUUUUCAUUUUUGUAGUUCCUCUCUUUGUUGUCUAAGGCAGGGUACUAGCUGGUUUGGAUUUAUUCACAGACCUUGCCUUAUCUUGAUUUCACUAUUCUAUCUGACCAGUGUGUCAUUGCCGAAAUGUUUUCCACAUUUAUAGUUACUCUGUAUCUUUAUGUUUCCCUUACCCUGUUCCUUUUCCUAAUAAACAUCUUUGUUUUACAAAAAAUUUUGUUUAUAAGGUGUCAAGGAUGCCAAGAUAACCUCCUUUGUUUAUCACCGCCCUCUGUUUAGCUAUUUUUUACGAAGAAUCAUUUAAGCAGGUUGUGAGUACUGCCCUCAAUGACUUGGACAAUGAAGUUUUAAAAAUCUUAUUUAGACCUGUCACUGGUCCUGUCUCCUUUUUUUUUUUUUUUUUUUUUUGGUGGCCAGAGCCAGAAAGCUUGAGUGAGAAUUGUUACUACUUAAGGUAGCCUCUCUCCAUUUCUGGAUGUUAGCUGGCUCAAAGUUUUUUUUUUUU
rnacentral:lncRNA from 1 species